GAUGAAGAACGUAGCGAAAUGCGAUAAGUAAUGUGAAUUGCAGAAUUCAGUGAAUCAUCGAAUCUUUGAACGCACAUUGCGCCCCCUGGCAUUCCGGGGGGCAUGCCUGUUCGAGCGUCUCCAGGACGAAUCCUCGCGCGAGUGAACGCGCGGUCGUGGCGGAGGUGGCGUGCCCGAGCAGGGCAGCCACCGCGCUGGAAUCCAUGGGCGGACGCCUGCCGCGUGGCCGAGCGUGAUAUGACGCAUUGGCGCUCGUGCGCGGCGAGGCUGCCAGCCCUGGCCCGUCUGUCGGGCGGGGUAGAUCAACACGUGGGAACUCCUCGAAUCAGGUAGGGAUACCCGCUGAACUUAAGCAUAUCAAUAAGCGGAGGA
rnacentral:misc_RNA from 1 species